CUUGGUCAUUUAGAGGAAGUAAAAGUUGUAACAAGGUUUCCGUAGGUGAACCUGCGGAAGGAUCAUUAACAAAUCCAAUAAUUGUGGGUUAGAGGUAACUCUACCUGCAAAUAUUAAACCGCCGGUUUUCCAAAAGAGAAUCGGUUGGAUAUAUAUAUGCGUGUUAUGUUGACAGUGUGUGAGUGACUUUAAUUUAUUGACAACUUUUAACAAUGGAUCUCUAGGCUCUUGCAGCGAUGAAGAACGCAGCAAAAUGCGAAACGUGAUGCGAUUUGCAUGAAUCUGUGAGUCAUCUAAUCUUUGAACGCGAAUGGCACUGCUAUGUAAGUAGCAGUAUGUCUGUUUGAGAAUCGCAAAACAAGAUCAACUCUAGUUGAGAGUUGGGAUUGACCUUAUAUGCUUUGGCGUAUUUGGUUUAAAUAAAUCGAGUUGAUGAGCUCCCCAACGCGGCUCAAUGUGUGCUAGCGAGACAGUCGUCCCGAUCUCACAUUACCGCUGCGUUGCAGAGUUCUACGCACGGCUCGCUUAAAUUAUUAUAUCAAAUACGAUCUCAAAUCAGGCAAGAUUACCCGCUGAACUUAAGCAUAUCAAUAAGCGGAGGA
rnacentral:rRNA from 1 species